UUAAGUUCAGCGGGUAGUCCUACCUGAUUUGAGGUCAGAUUUCAAAGUCGAGCUUUGUUGACCGCCGCCCCACGGGCAGGUCUAGGGAGGACUCGGCAGUGGUGAACGUCUCGGGAGAGCGAGGAUGGUACAACGCCCAGUCGAGUUCGACCCACAGGUCCAACCGAAGCAUUUGAGGGGAGCCGCCUAGCGGCAGCAUG
rnacentral:misc_RNA from 1 species